AUUGAACGCUGGCGGCAGGCCUAACACAUGCAAGUCGAGCGGAUGAAGGGAGCUUGCUCCUGGAUUCAGCGGCGGACGGGUGAGUAAUGCCUAGGAAUCUGCCUGGUAGUGGGGGAUAACGUCCGGAAACGGGCGCUAAUACCGCAUACGUCCUGAGGGAGAAAGUGGGGGAUCUUCGGACCUCACGCUAUCAGAUGAGCCUAGGUCGGAUUAGCUAGUUGGUGGGGUAAAGGCCUACCAAGGCGACGAUCCGUAACUGGUCUGAGAGGAUGAUCAGUCACACUGGAACUGAGACACGGUCCAGACUCCUACGGGAGGCAGCAGUGGGGAAUAUUGGACAAUGGGGGAAAGCCUGAUCCAGCCAUGCCGCGUGUGUGAAGAAGGUCUUCGGAUUGUAAAGCACUUUAAGUUGGGAGGAAGGGCAGUAAGUUAAUACCUUGCUGUUUUGACGUUAACAACAGAAUAAGCACCGGCUAACUUCGUG
rnacentral:rRNA from 1 species